rfam:Aedes aegypti strain Liverpool supercont1.17 genomic scaffold, whole genome shotgun sequence.
GGGGCUGUAGCCUUGUGGUUACGCUUUCGCUUCAUAAGCGGAAGGUCAUGGGUUCGAUUCCCAGCCCCU